rnacentral:rRNA from 1 species
CCUAACACAUGCAAGUCGAGCGGAAACGACAACAUUGAAUCUUCGGAGGAUUUGUUGGGCGUCGAGCGGCGGACGGGUGAGUAAUGCCUAGGAAAUUGCCUUGAUGUGGGGGAUAACCAUUGGAAACGAUGGCUAAUACCGCAUAAUGCCUACGGGCCAAAGAGGGGGAUCUUCGGACCUCUCGCGUCAGGAUAUGCCUAGGUGGGAUUAGCUAGUUGGUGAGGUAAUGGCUCACCAAGGCGACGAUCCCUAGCUGGUCUGAGAGGAUGAUCAGCCACACUGGAACUGAGACACGGUCCAGACUCCUACGGGAGGCAGCAGUGGGGAAUAUUGCACAAUGGGCGAAAGCCUGAUGCAGCCAUGCCGCGUGUAUGAAGAAGGCCUUCGGGUUGUAAAGUACUUUCAGUUGUGAGGAAGGGGGUAGUGUUAAUAGCGCUAUCUCUUGACGUUAGCAACAGAAGAAGCACUGGCUAACUCCGUGCCAGCAGCCGCGGUAAUAC